rnacentral:rRNA from 1 species
AACGAACGCUGGCGGCAUGCCUAACACAUGCCAGUCGAACGAGACCUUCGGGUCUAGUGGCGCACGGGUGCGUAACGCGUGGGAACCUGCCCUUAGGUUCGGAAUAACUCCCCGAAAGGGGUGCUAAUACCGGAUAAUGUCUUCGGACCAAAGAUUUAUCGCCUUUGGAUGGGCCCGCGUUGGUUUAGCUAGUUGGUAGGGUAAAAGCCUACCAAGGCGACGAUCCAUAGCUGGUCUGAGAGGAUGAGCAGCCACACUGGGACUGAGACACGGUCCAGACUCCUACGGGAGGCAGCAGUGGGGAAUAUUGGACAAUGGGGGAAAGCCUGAACCAGCAAUGCCGCGUGAGUGAUGAAGGCCUUAGGGUUGUAAAGCUCUUUUACCCGGGAUGAUAAUGACAGUACCGGGAGAAUAAGCUCCGGCUAACUCCGUG